UAGGGAAUAUUGGACAAUGGGCGCAAGCCUGAUCCAGCCAUGCCGCGUGAGUGAUGAAGGCCUUAGGGUUGUAAAGCUCUUUUGGCGGGGACGAUAAUGACGGUACCCGCAGAAUAAGCCCCGGCUAACUUCGUGCCAGCAGCCGCGGUAAUACGAAGGGGGCUAGCGUUGUUCGGAAUCACUGGGCGUAAAGCGCACGUAGGCGGAUGUGCCAGUCAGGGGUGAAAUCCCGGAGCUCAACUCCGGAACUGCCUCUGAUACAGCACGUCUUGAGUUCGAGAGAGGUGGGUGGAAUUCCUAGUGUAGAGGUGAAAUUCGUAGAUAUUAGGAAGAACACCGGUGGCGAAGGCGGCCCACUGGCUCGAUACUGACGCUGAGGUGCGAAAGCGUGGGGAGCAAACAGGAUUAGAUACCCCCGUAGUCCCUGAGCGGGCUGGCAAGGCGCAU
rnacentral:rRNA from 1 species